rnacentral:rRNA from 1 species
UUUAUGGAGAGUUUGAUCCUGGCUCAGGAUGAACGCUGGCGGCGUGCCUAAUACAUGCAAGUCGAGCGAACAGACAAGGAGCUUGCUCCUUUGACGUUAGCGGCGGACGGGUGAGUAACACGUGGGUAACCUACCUAUAAGACUGGGAUAACUUCGGGAAACCGGAGCUAAUACCGGAUAAUAUUUCGAACCGCAUGGUUCGAUAGUGAAAGAUGGUUUUGCUAUCACUUAUAGAUGGACCCGCGCCGUAUUAGCUAGUUGGUAAGGUAACGGCUUACCAAGGCGACGAUACGUAGCCGACCUGAGAGGGUGAUCGGCCACACUGGAACUGAGACACGGUCCAGACUCCUACGGGAGGCAGCAGUAGGGAAUCUUCCGCAAUGGGCGAAAGCCUGACGGAGCAACGCCGCGUGAGUGAUGAAGGUCUUCGGAUCGUAAAACUCUGUUAUUAGGGAAGAACAUACGUGUAAGUAACUAUGCACGUCUUGACGGUACCUAAUCAGAAAGCCACGGCUAACUACGUGCCAGCAGCCGCGGUAAUACG